rnacentral:rRNA from 1 species
GAUGAACGCUGGCGGCGUGCUUAACACAUGCAAGUCGAACGAAGCUGUUAAAAGGAAGUCUUUGGAUGAAAUUUUAACAGACUUAGUGGCGGACGGGUGAGUAACGCGUGGAUAACCUGCCUUAUACAGGGGGAUAACGGAGAGAAAUUUCCGCUAAGACCGCAUAAGACCACAGCACCGCAUGGUGCAGGGGUAAAAUAUUAAUAGGUAUAAGAUGGAUCCGCGUCCGAUUAGCUUGUUGGUGAGGUAGAGGCUCACCAAGGCGACGAUCGGUAGCCGGCCUGAGAGGGUGAACGGCCACAUUGGGACUGAGACACGGCCCAAACUCCUACGGGAGGCAGCAGUGGGGAAUAUUGGACAAUGGGGGAAACCCUGAUCCAGCGACGCCGCGUGAGUGAAGAAGUAUUUCGGUAUGUAAAGCUCUAUCAGCAGGGAAGAAAA